UACAGAGGGGGCAAGCGUUGUCCGGAAUUACUGGGCGUACAGCGCGCGCAGGCGGUUGCCGACGUGCCGUGUGACAAACGGGGGCUCAACCCCCGAGGGCCACGGUAAACGGGGCGACUGGAGGUAGGGAGAGGGAUGUGGAAUGCCCGGUGGAGCGGUGAAAUGCGUAGAGAUCGGGCGGAACACCAGCGGCGAAGGCGGGUCUCUGGGCCGAUACUGACGCUGAGGAGCGAAAGCGUGGGGAGCGAACAGG
rnacentral:rRNA from 1 species